AAAAAUAUCCUCAAAUCAAGAACUUAUAACUUCAAAAAUCUUAUCAGAUCACAACUGGUCAUCUUUUUUUCCUCAAACCAUUAAAUAAUCAUUUGACAAUUGUAAACCUAAAAUUAUCAUAAAGAAGAGGAAGAGGAAGAGAAAAUGAAUGUGUUUUUGCACAAGAGAGAAAGUGAAAGUUACGCAACAUAAAUUCUUCUUCUUGUUCUCUUUUUUCUCUCCAUUUUUUGGUGAGGCUUUUACUCAUGCUCUGCGAAUUGUGGUGGUUGUUAGAUCUGGGACUUGUGGUGUCGGAAAGAUCAUAAGCAACAAUAACAUGCAACAAUUGCAAUCAAAACAACAAUUUGAAUUCCUUGAUUUUGAUCCGCGCUUUCCCGUUAAUCUCGAUUGAGACUCUUUCGUUGGGGUUUCAUCUUUUUCUAGGGCUUUUUCACUUCACCGGUGGUUGGGGCUGAUUUUCGUGUUGUCUAAAAAUUAGUUACAACGAAUGAAAACCCAAAUGACGAAUUGGAAACCCUAAAUUAUGUAUAUCAUUCUGUUUUCAUUUUUUCCUUCUACUUUGUGUUUGGCUGGGAGUUGAAUUGUACUAUUGUAGUGGGAAUUCUUUC
rnacentral:lncRNA from 1 species